GGAUCGGAAGCUCAGUGGAGAGAGCACCGCGUUGCGAACGCUAAGGUCGGAGGUUCGAAUUCUCCUAGGUCCA
rnacentral:tRNA from 1 species